UACGUAGGUGGCAAGCGUUGUCCGGAUUUACCGGGCGUAAAGAGCGCGCAGGCGGUCGUUCAAGUCGCGUGUGAAAGCCCCCGGCUCAACUGGGGAGGGUCACGCGAUACUGGUCGACUCGAAGGCAGGAGAGGGUAGUGGAAUUCCCGGUGUAGUGGUGAAAUGCGUAGAUAUCGGGAGGAACACCAGUGGCGAAGGCGACUACCUGGCCUGUUUCUUGACGCUGAGGCGCGAAAGCUAGGGGAGCAAACGGG
rnacentral:rRNA from 1 species